ACUGCUCAGUAACACGUGGACAACCUGCCCUUAGGACGGGUAUAAACCCGGGAAACUGGGUAUAAUUCCCGAUAGAUCUCGUCUGCUGGAAUGCAUCGAGAUCCAAAGCUCCGGCGCCUAAGGAUGGGUCUGCGGCCUAUCAGGUAGUAGUGGGUGUAGCGUACCUACUAGCCUACGACGGGUACGGGUUGUGAGAGCAAGAGCCCGGAGAUGGAUUCUGAGACACGAAUCCAGGCCCUACGGGGUGCAGCAGGCGCGAAAACUUUACAAUGCUGGGAACAGCGAUAAGGGAACCUCGAGUGCCAGGUUACAAAUCUGGCUGUCGUGAUGCCUAAAAAGCAUUAUAUAGCAAGGGCCGGGCAAGACCGGUGCCAGCAGCCGCGGUAAUACGAU
rnacentral:rRNA from 1 species